AUUGAACGCUGGCGGCAGGCCUAACACAUGCAAGUCGAACGGUAACAGGAAGCAGCUUGCUGCUUUGCUGACGAGUGGCGGACGGGUGAGUAAUGUCUGGGAAACUGCCCGAUGGAGGGGGAUAACUACUGGAAGCGGUAGCUAAUACCGCAUAACGUCGCAAGACCAAAGAGGGGGACCUUAGGGCCUCUUGCCAUCGGAUGUGCCCAGAUGGGAUUAGCUAGUAGGUGGGGUAACGGCUCACCUAGGCGACGAUCCCUAGCUGGUCUGAGAGGAUGACCAGCCACACUGGAACUGAGACACGGUCCAGACUCCUACGGGAGGCAGCAGUGGGGAAUAUUGCACAAUGGGCGCAAGCCUGAUGCAGCCAUGCCGCGUGUAUGAAGAAGGCCUUCGGGUUGUAAAGUACUUUCAGCGGGGAGGAAGGGAGUAAAGUUAAUACCUUUGCUCAUUGACGUUACCCGCAGAAGAAGCACCGGCUAACUCCGU
rnacentral:rRNA from 1 species